rnacentral:lncRNA from 1 species
AUGAGAAAGGGAAAUGGACCCAGAAACACAGGAACAGGGUACGGGGGGACGGGAAAUAGGGAAUGGGAAUGGAAAUGGGAACAGGAAAUGGCCCUGGAAACAAGGGAACAAGGUAUGGUGGGAAUGGGAAAUGGGAAUGGGAAACAGGAACAGGAAAUGGGAAACAGGAACAGGAAAUGGGAACAGGAAUGGGAAAUGGCCCAGAAACAGGGUAUGGGAAAUGGGGAACAGGAAACGGGAAUGGGAACAGGAAACGGGAACAGGAAUGGGAAAUGGCCCUGGAAAGGUGGGAGCAGGGUACAGGGGGAUGGGAAAUGGGAAUGGGAAACUGCCCAGAAACGGCCCUGGAAACACGGGAACAGGGAAUGGGAACAGGAACGGGAAAUGGCCCCGGAAACGUGGGAGCAGGGUACAGGGAAACAGGAAAUGGGAAACAGGGACACGGUGGGGAAAAGGGAAUGGGAAAUGGGAACAAGAAACGGGAACCAAGGUGGGGGAAUGGGAAAUGGGAACAGGACCCAAGGUGGGGAGGGGGGAUGGGAAAUGGGGCGGAGGAGGAGGAAGGAAAGAAGGAAGGAAUUGAGGAAGAGGAGGAGGGGAAUGAGAAAGAAGAAAAGGAGGAAGGAAGGCAGGAAAAGGAAGAGGAAAUGGAAGAGGAAAGACAGGAAAGGGAAGAGGAGGAGGAAGAAGUGGAGGAAAAUGAGGAAGGACAAGCAGAGAAGGAAGAAAAGGAAGGGAAGGGAAGAGGAGGAGGAAGGGGAGGAGGAAGGGCACAGGAAAGAGGAAGAGAAGAAAAGAGAAGAGGAAGAGAGGAAGAGAAGGAGGAAGGGCAGCAAAAGAAAGAGAAGAAGGAAGGGCAGGAAAAGAGGAGGAGGAAGGGUGGGAGGAGGAAAUAAAGAAGGAGGAAGGGCAGGAAGAGGAGGAGGAAGAGGAAGGGUGGGAAAAGGCAGAGGGAGAGGAAGAAGAGGAGGAGGAAGGCUGGGAAAAGGAGGAGGAAGUAAAGGAAGAAGAGUGGGAAAAGGAGGAGGAGGAAGAGGAAGAGAGGAGGAGGAGGAAGAGGAAGAGAGGAAGAGGAAGCAGAGAGGAAAAGGAGGAGUGGGAAGAAGAGGAGGAGGAAGGGUGGGAAAAGGAGGAAGAAUUGGGGGAGGAAGAGCAGGAAAAGGAGAAGGAAGUGAAGGAGGAAGGGCAGGAAAAGGAGGAAGAGGAAGAGGAGGAAGGCUGGGAAAAGGGGACUCCCCCCUUAAAAAUUCUUCAUCCACAGAGGAAGAAAGAGGAAGAGGAGGAGGAAGAGGAUGA